rnacentral:rRNA from 1 species
AUUGAACGCUGGCGGCAUGCCUUACACAUGCAAGUCGAACGGCAGCACGUCCCCUCGGGGAUGGUGGCGAGUGGCGAACGGGUGAGUAAUACAUCGGAACGUACCCAGGAGUGGGGGAUAACGUAGCGAAAGUUACGCUAAUACCGCAUAUUCUGUGAGCAGGAAAGCGGGGGAUCGCAAGACCUCGCGCUCUUGGAGCGGCCGAUGUCGGAUUAGCUAGUUGGUGAGGUAAGAGCUCACCAAGGCGACGACCCGUAGCAGGUCUGAGAGGAUGAUCUGCCACAAUGGGACUGGGAACCGGCCCAGACGCCUACGGGAGGCAGGAGUGGGGAAUUUUGGACAAUGGGGGCAACCCUGAUCCAGCCAUGCCGCGUGAGUGAAGAAGGCCUUCGGGUUGUAAAGCUCUUUCGGCGGGGAAGAAAUGGCAACGGCUAAUAUCCGUUGUUGAUGACGGUACCCGCAUAAGAAGCACCGGCUAACUACGUGCCAGCAGCCGCCGUAAAAC